rnacentral:rRNA from 1 species
UACGUAGGGUGCUAGCGUUGUUCGGAAUCAUUGGGCGUAAAGCGCGUGUAGGCUGUUAAUUAAGUCGGGUGUGAAAUCCCUGGGCUCAACCGAGGAAGUGCGCCCGAAACUGCAUGGCUUGAGUACCGGAGAGGAUGGCGGAAUUCCCCAAGUAGAGGUGAAAUUCGUAGAUAUGGGGAGGAACACCGGUGGCGAAGGCGGCCAUCUGGACGGAUACUGACGCUGAGACGCGAAAGCGUGGGGAGCAAACAGG